AGCCUUGUAUAUCCGUGCCGAGAUUUCGUCACACACCAGACCACAAAGGCUGAUGAGCCUACCAAGAUAAGUGAGGAG
rnacentral:pre_miRNA from 1 species